CUACGGGGGGCAGCAGUGGGGAAUAUUGCACAAUGGGGGAAACCCUUAUUCAUCCACUCCGCGUGGAGGAUGACGCAUUUCGGUGUGUAAACUCCUUUUAUAUAGGAAGAUAAUGACGGUACUAUAUGAAUAAGCACCGGCUAACUCCGUGCCAGCAGCCGCGGUAAUACGGAGGGUGCAAGCGUUACUCGGAAUCACUGGGCGUAAAGCGCGCGCAGGCGGCCUUUUAAGUUGGAUGUGAAAGCCUAUGGCUUAACCAUAGAACUGCAUCCAAAACUAUCAGGCUAGAGUCUGGGAGGGGAAGAUGGAACUAGUUGUGUAGGGGUAAAAUCCGUAGAGAUAACUAGGAAUACCAAAAGCGAAGGCGAUCUUCUGGAACAGUACUGACGCUGAGGCGCGAAAGCGUGGGGAGCAAAUAGGAUUAGAUACCCUAGUAGUC
rnacentral:rRNA from 1 species